CUUAUCCAAACAGUGUGAGACUGUUUCAGGGAUACUAUAAAUGUUGGAUUAAUAAUUAAAAGGCAAGUGAACUACAUACCACGUUUGAUAAACUCAAUAGCAUUCCUCGCAACACAUUUUACAACAGUUAAUGAAUACAACUCAAUCAUAUAAGCUGUUUCCGGGUAUUCACUAAAACAUGCUAUUGUAUUUACUGUUAAUGAUUUUUCUGUUACUAGUGUUAUUUUAAGAGUGAUUCUUUAGAUCUAUAGCAAAUGGGACCAUGUCAUAUAUGGUGAUUCAACCAGUUAGCAAAUGAUAUCUGAAUGACACUUAGUGCCAUGUAUUUGGAUCAUUCAUCCAGUCUUUUAAUAUGUAUGGACAACAAUUCAAUUCAGUUCUUUUCAGUUUAAUCAUAUAUUUUUAUUCAGUAAUUUUAUGUAUUAACAGAAAGGGGAAAAGGAUAAGAUCACUUUGUUCGAAGAUUACCAAGAUUACUUGAAUUUUACAUCACCAAACUCUUAGAAACGAGCUGGACAACAACAGAUGAUGUCAACUCUGGGAGAUGUGCUGUUUUUUUUGUUUUUUUUUUAAUCUGCUUCCUGUUUACUCUCCUCUGUCAGCCAGCGCAAGCAUUGGGAAACACCUACCACUCGACUCGCUGGGAGAAGCAGGGAGUAGGGGAGAAGUCAGCAGCAGGUCUAUUGUCACCAGAGACCCUUAGCAGGCCUUAUAUGGACAGACCCGCCCCUGAGAGAAAGCAGACAGGACAGACCCUGCAGGAAAUGUGGCAGGCUACCAAGGCGACAAAGUUCCUCCUUCACCUAAUGACUGUGUUGCUAAAAUCUGCUGAGGCGGUGCACAGUAGCGCAGUUAUGUCAUCGUUUUCAAGCCCGUCCCUUCACCAUAUUGGGCACAAGAGUUCUCAGAAGCAGCAAGAAACAGAAGAAGAAAAGAAGAAGAAGAAGAAGAAGAAGAAAAAGAAGAAGACGAGAGAAAGGAAAUCUGAAUAUUUCAACUUCAGCUUUGUAAAGGCCACCCUGUUGACAGAGAGGAAAAUCUCUUUGGAAAUAUAGGAGUGUGUGCAGUGUGAGUUAGCUCCGCAGAGUAAAAACACAACACAGUUGUUUUAUAGGGGAGUUCAAGGGGAGUGUUGAAACGACAAGUUUUAACAGGUGGCUUAUUAGUGUCUGGGGCGGAAAGCGGUUUAUAACGAAGAAAUUAGGUCAGCAGAAAAUGUGUUUGGCAGGACGGAAUCACAUGUCUGAAAGAGGGAGUUGCCUUUUUGUUGUUGAUAUAGGCCAUCAGUGACAUGGGAAGUGGGAAAGAGGAAGGCGGGGGGAGGGGUGAGAGACAGAAACAAACAGAGAGAGAGAGGCUUGUCUUUGCCUCUCUGCUCCGGCUAGCCAUCUAUCUUUGGCUGUGCUCACGCCCCAGCUGCUGCUGGUUCAAAGUACGGUCAUUGGCAGAGAACCAGGCACAAGGCUGUGAAAAACACCCACACAGCCACUUCACACACAGAGGUUAGUCAAGAGAAACAGAAUGUCUUUGGAACAAAGCAAAAUCUCAGUGUCGAGCCCAGUGUCAUGCAGCUUUUGCAGCAGAAGCACCAAAAAAAAAAGGUCCAACAUGUACUAAAGAGGUGACAGAAGACUUUAUGGAGAAAAUACUUUUUGGUUUUGAGAAAAGACUGGUGGCAAGAGAGGUUCCAUUCAAGAAGUCACUGUCUGACCCCCAAGUGAGGUUAAUCAGAGUGGGAAGCUUUGAGUUAUGCAGUCUUCAGAGGUCAUGCUUAAGUAGAUGAACUUCUGUUAAAUCAUUUAGUCGAUGGGGGGGGGUUGCAGCUUGCUAGCUGUUUGGCAUGUUUGACGUUAUUUACCUCCCCAGUGCAAAAUAAACUAUUGCAUGUAAUAGAAAGGAAAAAAAAACCUCCAUCACAAUACUUUCAAAAAUAGUUUGACAUGACUUCAACUUUAGGGUGCUGAAAUUUUGAAUAUUACCCACGGCUGACUAGAGGGACUUUAACUUGUCUGCUGGAUCCUCUCCUGCACCUUUGGUCCUGUGCCAAACAAUCUGGGCCAAGGUCUGGGUGUCAGUGUUAAGUAGAGGUUGAAGCCGGAUGUAUGUAGGUGAGAGUUUGUUUUGCUAAAGAACACAGUGGAUAUUGUAUUCUUGUUGUUGCACGUUCAUACAGUGUUAGUGCCAAUGUCCUUGGGCUUUGCGGUGUGUGUGUGUGUGUGUGUGUGUGUGUGUGUGUGUGUGUGUGUGUGUGUGUGUGUGUGUUCUUCCAGACACGUGUCCUUGAACACACACACUGCAGGUGAGCAGAAAGUCAUGUUCAGCAACCAUCAAGAACUUGAUCCUGGCGGCCCGGGUCAGACAUCGGGUAUGUAUGAUGGAGGUGCAGAACCUGACACGUGAGAAGUGGACCUGUGCCAGUUUUUGAGGUGGCUGCAAUCACCACUGAUGAGAGUAAAUUCAGCCAAAAAGUUAGAUGAUACUGGAGCUCUACCAGGGAGGGGGGUGCAGCCUGUUGCAAACAUUUCUGGUGUGAUUAAUCGCCCAUUUCCAAGGAAGCUAAUUAUAUCCAGCCAAAAUAGGAUGCCUCAUAGAUGUGUUCCUUUCCCCCUCUGUGCUUCUAAGCCUUUGUUUCCAAGUAAUUACUUAAGAAGAAGCGAUCAAGUUGUCUUCUUACUAUUCCAAAUAAACAAGAUUCAACUGGUGCUUUAAAUCUUAAAUGUUGUAUGCAAUUUUCAAAAAGUACAUUUUUUCUAUAAUUUUUUAAAUUUAGCCAUCAAUCAUAAUGAAUCUCUUCCAGAACUACAGUAUACGGUUGUAUAUAGACUCAUUUAAUUAUACAUUUAACUCUUCAGAUAUUUAAUUUGCUGUGUCUUAGAUUACAUUUUAUCUUCCCUAAACUAUCAGGCAAUAAGAUGAGCUCAUCUUUUUACUUCAGUCAAAUCUUAUUAUGUUAUACAUGAGCUAUGCUCUCUGUGCAUCGCUUGAUUUGUCACAAAACAUAUCACACUUGUUCACUGAGAUGUGCAUGUAAUGCAUUUUUUACGAGGCACAGUUUAAAGACAAAUGCGAUGUGGCAAGUGUAAUGAUAUGGAAAAACUCCGUUAUUACAGUCGAUGAGUGAUUUUAGACAUAUUUAAUUCUCUGAAAACUUUACAUCCUGAGGGCAACAACAUCCUCUGACACGAUGCCAAGUCUUUUCUUUCGUCUCUUUGGUAACUCUGAUUUCAACAGUAAAUUCUGAACAAAGAAACACUGACUUAAUUAAAUACAAUGUUUUGCUGAAAUAAUUCUCUCCCUCUUUCUCUCUCUCUCUCUCUAUUUCAGAAAUAAGAUAUACUCAUACAAAUCUGCUUAUUACUGUUUGAAACACAGAUCUUGCUUGUAUUUGUACGAAUGAAAUGAUAACAUUUACUUUAAAUGUACAUAAAGAUUAAAAACAGGACACUACAGAAAUAAUUUCACAAGCCAAAACAUUUCUAAUUCUAAUGUCUCUGAGCUCUGCACAGCAGAAACAAAUGUUCUUUGUAACAGGAAACUGUAAGUAAGCCCUGCCCUCUCACUUCCUGGAACAGGCCAGAUUUAUUGGCACCAUUACAAAUAUCAGGCAGCUUCUGAACACACAUAUGGGACAUGGUGGGUGCACUAAAGUGAAUGUCUUACUUGACAAUCAAUUUAGAUGUUAGCAUAGUAUUGGCUUUGAUUCAUUCAUUACCAUUCAAACCUAAUGACAAGCUGUUAAACUGCUGUUGUAGGAACAGCAAAUAGUUGAUCCUAUUUUCUGGACUACCGUAAUUCAUCCAUCACCAACAACACACAUAAAAGUUUUGCUGUUCUGAAACAAACAUAAAUUAAAAUCUGAAAAUCCA